UACGUAGGGUGCGAGCGUUAAUCGGAAUUACUGGGCGUAAAGCGUGCGCAGGUGGUCAUGUAAGACAGAUGUGAAAUCCCCGAGCUUAACCUGGGAAUUGCAUUUGUGACUGCAUGGCUAGAGUGUGGCAGAGGGGGAUGGAAUUCCGCGUGUAGCAGUGAAAUGCGUAGAUAUCAGGAAGAACACCCGUGGCGAAGGCGGCUCUCUGGGACGGUACUGACGCUGAGACGCGAAAGCGUGGGGAGCGAACAGG
rnacentral:rRNA from 1 species